CGAACGUGGGUAACCUGCCCAUCAGAGGGGGAUAACAUUCGGAAACGGAGUGCUAAAACCGCAUAGGUCUUCGAACCGCAUGGUUUGAAGAGGAAAAGAGGCGCAAGCUUCUGCUGAUGGAUGGACCCGCGGUGCAUUAGCUAGUUGGUGAGGUAACGGCUCACCAAGGCCGUGAUGCAUAGCCGACCUGAGAGGGUGAUCGGCCACAUUGGGACUGAGACACGGCCCAA
rnacentral:rRNA from 1 species